ACCUGUGUUCGAACCUCCAUUCCUCAUGUCUACCUCACCUGCAUAUAAUCAUGGGUAUGUUAAUUUCAUUACACAAAUGUCUAUUACAAAGGAACCAAAAUCAUACAAGGAUGCUAAAGAAGACAAUAAGUGGGUUGAGGCCAUGUAGGCCGAAUUGUCCGCACUAGAAGAUAACAAUAAUUGGGAAUUAACUGUACUACCCAAAGGGAAG
rnacentral:lncRNA from 1 species